AACCCAUGGUGAGGACACUUCCGUAAGAGAUCUUUAUACCUCUCCCAAGAUUCAUAGAGUGACUCCAUAUCGUUCUAAAAAAAAUUAGUGAUGUCACUUCUCAUCUU